CUUGGUUGAUUGAUAUGCCUUUGAUUUAUCAUAAGUAAGGUUAUAUUACAAAUAGGGAGACUCUCUAGUCCCCCUGUUGGUUAUACGAUUACGGUUUUAUUCUUAAUCGGUUAGCAGUGAACUAAAGUAACGACUGAACAAUUUUGAAAACCUGGUGUAACCUAAUUAAUGUAUAAACUCAAUAGUUUUAGUUAGUUCCAUAUGAUGUUAAGCUUAGUUUUAACGAUGAUUAAAAAUAACAUAUCUGGUUUGAGAAAAUAUCAAACUCAUUCAUUUGGCAAGAAAAAGUGAACGAACGUUCUAGGUGAACGGGUCUUUUGAAACACUCUGAUCUGGAUCACUUGUUCACUUGACUGACCCGUUUGAAUUGAUGGCCAGCUAAUGGCCACUGCCACUGCACGGCUAACCUCAAAACAAAAUACAAGCUUCCUAGAUACAUCUAUGACUACAUUAAUCUGUUCAAUUAAUAUUUUACGCUUAGA